AAUGAACGUUGGCGGCGUGGAUUAGGCAUGCAAGUCGUACGGGCCGCAAGGCCAGUGGCGCAAGGGUGAGUAAGGCGACGGUAACCAACCCCAUGACUGGGUAUAGCCGCGGGAAACUGCGGGUAAUCCCCAGCGACGUCCGGCGGGGGGCAUCCCCCGUGGACCAAAGCCCCGGCGUCGUGGGACGGGCCGUCGUGGUAUUAGGUGGUUGGCGGGGUAACGGCCCACCAAGCCUGCGAUGCCUACCGGGCGUGCGAGCGUGGCCCGGCACACUGGGACUGAGACACUGCCCAGACUCCUACGGGAGGCUGCAGUCGAGAAUCUUCGGCAAUGGGCGCAAGCCUGACCGAGCGACGCCGCGUGGAGGACGAAGGCCUUCGGGUUGUAAACUCCUGUCGAGGGGGAAGAAGGCCGGGUAACCGGCUUGACUGAUCCCUGGAGGAAGCACGGGCUAAGUUCGUGCCAGCCGCCGCCGUAAUAC
rnacentral:rRNA from 1 species